rnacentral:rRNA from 1 species
GGGCCCGCACAAGCAGUGGAGUAUGUGGUUUAAUUCGAAGCAACGCGAAGAACCUUACCAGGGCUUGACAUACAGUGGAAUAUGGUAGAGAUAUCAUAGCUCUUCGGAGCUGCUGAACAGGUGGUGCAUGGUUGUCGUCAGCUCGUGUCGUGAGAUGUUGGGUUAAGUCCCGCAACGAGCGCAACCCCUGUUGUUAGUUGCCAGCAUUAAGUUGGGCACUCUAGCAAGACUGCCGGUGACAAAUCGGAGGAAGGUGGGGACGACGUCAAAUCAUCAUGCCCCUUAUGUCCUGGGCUACACACGUACUACAAUGGCUAUUACAGCAGGAAGCGAAACGGUAACGUGGAGCAAAUCCUCAAAAAUAGUCCCAGUUCAGAUUGUGGGCUGAAACUCGCCCACAUGAAGUCGGAAUUGCUAGUAAUUGCAGGUCAGCAUACUGCAGUGAAUACGUUCCCGGGCCUU